GAUGACGCACAGUGCUGGCGCAAGUCGUCUUGCGCCAGGCGACUGGGUCUGAGGAGGCAGGAGUUAUUCAUUCCCUUAAGCUUUCAGGCCGGGGGGAGAAUCUUUCAGGUGGUAGCUGCAAGAACUCUUAGUAUGUUGACCUCACCUCUGCCUUCCACAUACCACUACCAGUGAGGAAUUAGGAAUGCAUGAGAAGAGUGUCCAAGAAGAGUGUCCUCAUUCAUGCAAGGCUUAAGAGAGAAUGCAGGUCAACAUCACCAUGUCAAUCAGAGGGAAUUAUUGCAGAGGGUACUAAAUAGCAAGAAGUCACCCAGCUAGUAAGUGGUGGAACCAGGAAUCGAGAGAGUCUGGGUUCUUUACCCCUCUGCUGAGCAGUUUGAUUAUAACAAACACAAAAACAAAAAAUACUUCUGUUGGGUUGAAUGACUCUCUGCCCCCAGGUGCAGAUGCUGAGAGCACUUUCUAGUCAAGUCCUGCAUGUUCAUUUCUGUCUCAAGUCAGCUUCUCUGAGAAUCCAAUUUAUAAAAAUAUAUUUGUGAAUGUAUAAGUAAAGUGACUUGGAUUUUGUCUACGUACAAGGACUUCUAUGCCUGCAUAAAACAGGUCACAGUAAAGAGCUAUUUCAGUGCAAUGAAAAUGGAACCCAGGGUAUUUGGGAGUUUUGACAUCCAGGCCUAGUAUCGUAAAGACACCAAGUUUGGAACCAGCAGCAGCAGCAGCUCCCCAGACCUACUGAAUCAGAAUCUACAUUUUGAUAAGAGCCCAGGGUGACUCCAUGUACGUGAAAAAGUUUGAGAAGUCCUUAGACCUACAGUUCACAGCUUCUCCUUCUUUCUUAUUCAACUGAAUUGCAGUGGGACCUGAGUAUGGUUAAAAUAAAUGAAUAAAAACACAAA
rnacentral:lncRNA from 1 species